rnacentral:rRNA from 1 species
GAGUAACGCGUAUGCAACCUACCUAUCAGGAGGGGAACUAACCCGGACGAAAGUCGGACUAAUACCGCAUAAAACAGGGGCAACCGCAUGGUGAUAUUUGUUAAAGAAAUUCGCUGAUAGAUGGGCAUGCGUUCCAUUAGGUAGUUGGUGAGGUAACGGCUCACCAAGCCGACGAUGGAUAGGGGAACUGAGAGGUUGGUCCCCCACACUGGUACUGAGACACGGAUCAGACUCCUACGGGAGGCAGCAGUGAGGAAUAUUGGUCAAUGGGCGGGAGCCUGAACCAGCCAAGUCGCGUGAAGGAAGAAGGAUCUAUGGUUACGUAAACUUCUUUUGCAGGGGAAUAAAGUGCAGGACGUGUCCUGUUUUGUAUGUACCCUGAGAAUAAGGAUCGGCUAACUCCGUGCCAGCAGCCGC